rnacentral:rRNA from 1 species
UUGAAAUNNNNNNGAUGAGUUGAUGCUGGUUCUCUAGGGAGCAUGUGCACACUUGACAUUUUUAUAUAUACUCCACCUGUGCACCUUGUGUAGACCUGGAUAUCUAUCUAAAUGCUAGGUUUGGGGUUUGGCUUCAUGUCUUUCCUUACAUUUCUAGGUCUAUGUUGUAUUCAAUACAUCCCAAUGUAUGUCAGUGAAUGUAAUCUUUAUGGGCCUUUGCACCUAUAAAUCUAUACAACUUUCAGCAACGGAUCUCUUGGCUCUCGCAUCGAUGAAGAACGCAGCGAAAUGCGUUAAGUAAUGUGAAUUGCAGAAUUCAGUGAAUCAUCGAAUCUUUGAACGCACCUUGCGCUUCUUGGUAUUCCGAGGAGCAUGCCUGUUUGAGUGUCAUUAAUAUAUAUAUCAAUCUCUUCAAUGAGUUAUUGGAUGGGUGGGGGUUUGCUGGUCUUCUCAAGGUCAGCUCCCCUGAAAUGCAUUAGAGGAACAAGUUGUGGACCGUUCAUUAGUGUGAUAAUUUAAUCUACACUAUUGACGGAAGCCAGUUUCAGUUUUUCAUUAGUAAAUUUCAUUAA